GUAGCCAUCGGAUUAAAAACAGUUUGGACGCUCAGGAUUGCGCCACAUCAUCAGUCAACAGUACGCAGUUUGACCAUGCGGGUGAACAGUAACACGGUUUGACCCGGGUUGAACAGUGAUGCGGUUUGGUUGAAAAUAAUCCUGUGUAAUGCAUGUACCGUACGCGAGAUUUUUGGUCCACUGAUAUGCUGCCACGUCAUCGAUCAACAGUGCAUAAGAAUUUUAGUCCAACAAGAUCGUGACACAUCAUCAGUCAAUGCCACAUCAUCGGUCAAUGCCAUGUCAUCGAUCCGUUUAUGUGAACAGUGUCGUGAACAGUAACGUAGAUAGUACCAUACAUGUGAAUAGUACCGUACAUGUGAACAAUGUCAUUUUUCCUUUUACGCUCUUCCUAAGGUUUUCAACCGUCCUGAGUUCAAAAGUGAUGUCUGUUUUGCCGUCUGAUCUCUCGUUCAUUGUGAAAUGACUAUGAUGCCCUUAAAAUACAUAAAAUACUUAAUUAUAAUACAAUACAUAUAAUUAAAUGACAAGAAGUUUAAAUACAUAAAAGUAAGGGUGUUAGUAAAACUUAAAGUGUAAAAUGACGAUUUUCUCCUUUAUAAAUAUAUAUUUUCUAACACUCAACACCCCCCCCAACCAGCUUAUUACUAGUCCCUAGCAAAUAAAGUGAAAACAAAAUUCAAAUCAAAAAUGAUUUUUUUUUAAACAAUCAUGUUUAUUCAAUCAGACUAAUGAUAUUAAUUAAAUAAAACUAUAAACAUUAUCUCUAGUCUAAAGAAACAUCGCACCCACAUCAACCAUCCACAUGAAUCAGUCUAGUAGACUUUGUCAUAGCUACUUUCAAGAAUGACAUGUCAAACCCCAAAAUCUCACUGGAAGUAGUGACACUCUCACAAAGAAAUUAAACCUAAUAAAAAUAGUCACUCCAAUGAAUGGUAAUUGAGAGAAAAUAAUGAAGAAGUGAUAUCACAUGCUCUCACCAAAAUGAAAGAAAUAUGCCCUCAGCUUAGAAAUAAUACGAUCUCAAGUAAAAUAAAAAUGCUAGUCAACCCAAUUUAUUUGUUUUUAUUUUUUUAUGCACCACUACAUCUUUUUAACCCAUAUAACUAGCUUCUACUUCAGAUUAUAGUUCCCUAAAAUUAAGAAGGAAUUUUAUUAGGACGUAACGUAGGCUAGGGACAUGGCUAAUCAAGGAGAGGAAAUAAGGAAAACAAAGUGUAUGUUUGAGAAAAAUGCAGAGAUUUUUGUUUUUUUUUUUUGGAAGUUGCAAGGUGGA
rnacentral:lncRNA from 1 species